UACGGAAGGUCCGGGCGUUAUCCGGAUUUAUUGGGUUUAAAGGGAGCGUAGGCCGCGGGUUAAGCGUGCUGUGAAAUGUCCGGGCUCAACCCUGGCAUUGCGGCGCGGACUGGUCCGCUUGAGUGCGCGGAAGGGAGGCGGAAUUCGUGGUGUAGCGGUGAAAUGCUUAGAUAUCACGAAGAACCCCGAUUGCGAAGGCAGCUUCCCGCAGCGCCACUGACGCUGAAGCUCGAAGGUGCGGGUAUCGAAC
rnacentral:rRNA from 1 species